AAUCAGUGAAGAGCCUAUCCCGAACCUGAUUGCCUGAAGAAAAAUGUAUAUGAAUAUAAUUUCUGAGAU